CCGGAAUGAGUACAUUGUGCUGUUAGGUGGGUAGAUGACGUAAUGGGUAGGUGGUGUUUAAAGUCUCGCGGGUGUCAAGGAAACAGCGUUUGCUCUUGUUCUACGCUUGGUGAGCGAGUUUGUGUUUCUUCCUCUGCUGACGCGUUGAAAGAACAGCUUGACCCAUUGUGCCCGACAAUUCGGAGAUUAAUCCUGUUUCAAUAAUUGAGGUGAGAACAUAGUGCGCAUGCCAUUUUGCGCUUUGUUACGGCCACUGGACGACGUCAAAACCUUCCUUGGCAAGUGGCCAUCGUUUUUUCCCCAACGAACUUGGGAUUUAGUUGCUUUAUAUUUUUUUGAUUUGUGGCAUUCAUUUUGCGGGAUCUGCCUGUCUUAUUUAAAUGGUAUAUUUCUGUAUUGGGAGGUCUUGUUUGAUUGUGUGUUUUAUGAAUAAUGGUUUGAUUGGGUUUGACUUUUCUUUGGGUUUGAUUUUUUUCUUCCUCCCAUGUGGUAUAUUUCCCAUUUUAUGAUUUUAGGUUGAUUUGGUGUUAUUUUGAGUGCCAUUCUUAUCAUGUUUUCUUUUGAUUUAAAGUAUGAUUUUCCUGUUUAAUUAAAUUGAAUUUUAGCUGAAUGAUUUGUUUCUCUUAU